CAGGAGUUAGAACUGCUGACUGUUCCUGAAGGCGAAGGUCAAUUGCCUGCUCGCUCUCCGUCACCAGAUACUAAGAAGGCUCUGGAAGCCCUCGCUGCUGUAGAAAGACUUCAAGCACAGCUACUGGAAACAGAAGAGAGAGCCCAAGCGGCCGAAGAGCGAGCUAUCCAAGCUGAAACUGACCUGAAACAAGCUCUAGAAAAAUACGAGCCCUUGAACGGUCAGCGUCCCGCGCAAGUGCGACAUCGGCAGGGGAAUCUCAGACACCUGCGGACAGACCGGUCAGCACUAGCAUGUCAAAGCGACCCACCUCUCAAGCCUCCACUGCGCAGGCGCAGACGCCUCAGCCUCCACGAACAGCUUCCCAGCAAUCGACAAGGCCCUCAACUCGGGCAUCAACAAAGAAAAAAUAAUUUGUUAUGUAAAAAGUUGCAAUGUAACAUUAUCAAGGAGUAAGUGACAGAAGAUUCAACAACACUCAACCUUUGUAAAUACACAACAGUGAAAAAACGAAGUCCCUCAGAUUUUGAAAGACUUCUAGGUUUGAAAUAGGUAUUGUAUUUAUUUUUAUAUCAGUCAAACAACUCCGCGCAUAAUUUAUUAUGACUAUGAUUUGCCUUGAUCAAGUUUAGCGACCUCUUUUUCAUCGGUAACUCUUUUCGUACGUGUAUAUAUGAAAACCCUUCCAUUGCUACCAAACAACAAAAAAGAACCAGAAGUCAUAAACAACCUAUUUUAUUGGUUUUUAAGUAAACAAACCAAUGGGCUUGGCAUUGGUAACAACCGAAAAAGCGAACUUAAAUUUGUCUUCAGCACGUUAUCACAUACAGAAGAAAAAAUUUAAAAAGUCCUCUGUGAGUUGCAAAAUCACCAUUUCUCAACAGUUUUUGACUGUUGCUGUACAUGCCUAAAAGGUAAAACCGUACUCUCACCAGCAAGUUGUUCCUGACAAGCGUCACGCGCCCUCCGCUCGC